UCCAAUGGGUUUUCGUCCUGGGAACAACAUGAUUCGCCAUCAUCCCUUAGCCUAAGCUGCAAACGCCUCCGUCCUCUCGCCCCUAAGCUCUCCGGCAGCCCUUGCUCUCCUUCUUCUUCCUCCGGCGUCACUUCCGCUACUUUCGACCUCAAGAGCUUCAUUAAACCCGAUCAAACCGGUCCAAGAAAAUUUGAAUACUCUAUUGAACACCAACGAGACCUUCCUCAUGUCAGUUAUCUUAUUUUACAGUCAGCAUAUUAUUCUAUAUCCAAAAUAAUAUUAUCACAAUAUUAAGAGUUUUUCAAAAUAACCAUAUACGUAAAACAUUGCCUAACUGUAAUGACUUAAUGGGUUCAUGCCGUCUUCUAUUAUAUUAAAAUUUUCUUCCAACUAACAAAUAUGGUAUGUUAGGUGGGGACGCACCAAGGAGGGACAAGGUGGAACCCAACUCAAGAACAGAUAGGGAUACUUGAGAUGUUAUACAAAGGUGGAAUGCGCACUCCUAACGCGCAACAGAUCGAGAACAUCACUUCUCAACUCGGUAAAUACGGAAAAAUCGAAGGAAAGAAUGUAUUUUACUGGUUUCAGAACCACAAAGCCCGCGAGAGGCAGAAGCAGAAGAGGAACAACUUCAUCAGCUUAAGUUGCCUAAGCAGCUUCAAGACCACUAAUAUCAAUAACGCAAGUGUAACAACGAAGACAACAACAUCGUCAAAUGACGUGAUCAGGGUGUGUACUGGUUAAGGAUUAGUUUAUAUAGUUUUCUUAUGCGUUUUUAGUUAACUAUAAUUAUUAAGUUAUGUGUAUUGUUUGUGUAGAGAGACUCAAUGGUUGAGAAGGGGGAGUUAGUGGAAGAAACUGAGUACAAGAGGACAUGUAGGAGCUGGGGAUUUGAGAACUUGGAGAUAGAUAGCAGACGAAACAUAAAUAGUAGUAAAAAUGCUACAAUGGCAACUACUUUCAACAAAAUCAUUGAAAAUGUAACGCUCGAGCUUUUCCCAUUGCACCCUGAAGGUAGGUGAAGAAGAUGAGGAAGAGAAUGUGGAAUUCUUAUGUAGAUCUGGUUUAGGUUCAGACUAAGUAUUUGGUAUCUAGAAAUUCAAUAUUAAUAUAAUUAAAUAUUAGAAAAUAACAGAAUCUACUUAAGAAUUCCCUUGUACUCUGCGAAUCUGAUGUACACUAUGUACAUUUUUAUUGCUAUGUAUUCUUAAUUAUGAAUUUUUAGUUUAGCUCUUCCCUUGAGUUUUUUUUUUUUUUUUUGAAAAAGAGCUAAUCUCUUGAUUUAAGUGUCUGUUCUUAACAAAUUCAGUCGUUUUAUUUUUAUUUUUUUAUAACAAAUUUAGCCGUGAUUAUGAUUGACUUAGUACUUCUAUACAAUAAUAUUUUGUACUGUUAUAACGACUCAAGAAAACAUAUUAUCUUUUAAUUACAAAAUAUUAAAUUUCUUAUAACAACAGAUGAACACAAUAACAUAUAUGCAAAACUAUAUGCUAAGUAAUAAUUAAGUUUAAGAUUUAGUUUUGAUAAUUUUAUAUACAUUUUAUCAGAUGAUACUAGCGUAACAGUAAUCUUGUUUAAAAUUUUGUAUUCCCGAUGAUAUGUUAGAAUGUGUACAUCAAUAAACAUCAAUGUAAUGUAAGUGGUGGUGUGUAUGUGGUUAGUUGUUUGUCUGAUGCUUUAUUGACUCUCGCAAAUGUUUUUUGGUAUUUUGGUUGAAACAAGAGUAGGUGUUCGAAAAGAAAAAAGGGUUGAAACAAGAGUGAGAAAGAGAGAAUUUUCUUUAUAGGUUAAAAGUUAAAAUGGCAUUAUAUGAGACACACUCACUGAAGUCCAUGCACUCGCUUUCCCGCUACAUUGCAUGCUAGCUAGCUGUACCUAUAUAAAUAUUUAUAUAUAUAUAGCUCUGUAUAUUUUCCAACUUAAAUCAUUGUACGUUACAAUGAUUUUCUCUUUUCUUUCUUUUUUUUUAAUUCAAUUUUCUUUGUGUUUUAUUUAGGAAAACUGAUUCCUGACGGGACGAAAUAUUAACCAUCACAUGGCUAACCAUAUAAACUAAACAAAUGUAUAUUUAGCUACACAAAAUAUAUAUUAUGCAUGACAACAUCCCUCAAUUUUAUGAUGUUAUCUAAUUAACAUCACGAGUUUAAUUUCAUUCAUCCAAAAAAUGAUGUGUAUGUCAUAGACCAUUUAAAUCUCUCGUUUCAUCAAUUAAAAUGUGACGUACCUAACACUAAUUUACCUAAAUUAGAUUUUGAUCCGUGUUUUAAAAGCGUAAGUAUCUAAUUUACAAAAUCAAUAUGUUUUAUAAAUUUUCAUAAGUAGUGUUUUAACAUUUUUAUUUUUGUAUAUUUGAAAAUAAUAUAAUAAUAUUAUUUUUAAUUAUAUUAAAUAUAAAAGUUAAAUAAGAUAUUAUUUAAUUUAGUUUUUAAUUCUUUUAAUCUGUUUUGGUAUGAACUUUUAAUAAAAUUUAUGUAAUUCGUUUUAUUAUAUACUUAUUUGAUAAAACAAUUAAUAUAAAACUUUUUUGAUGUCAAUUUAUUGACUCUAACAUUUUAUUUGUUUAAUGAAUGUAAUUUUUGUUAAUGAAAAAAUAUAUAAAAUAAUUCAUUUUUUUUGUGUGUUACAAAAAAAAAGAAUUAUUUUAUAUAUUUUUUCAUAAACAAAAAUUACAUUCAUUUAGACUUAGUAAAACUUUCAUAUUAGAUUCUUAUUCUUUGAUUAUUUUUAUUCCUAAAAGUAUAUAAUUUAUAACUAUAUAUGCAAGAUUAUGUUUGGUUUAAGUUGACAUCACAUAAGUUUUAAGCAAAUAAAAUGUUAGAGUUAAUAAAUUGACAGCAAAUAAGUUUUAUAAUUAAAAAAUUAUCAAAGAAGUAUAUAUCACACAAGUAAUCAAACGAAUUAUAAUUUUUUUUAUUAAAAGUUCAUAACAAAACAGAUUAAAAUAAUUAAAAAACAGAUUAAUUUAAAUAAAAAUAAUACAAUUAUAUAGUUUUAAAAUUAACUAAAAUAAAAUGUUAAAACAUUAAAAUAAAAAUGUUAAAACACUACUUAUUAAAAGUUCAUAACAAAACAUAUUAAUAAAAAUAAAAAUACAAUUAUAUGGUUUUAAAAUAAACUAAAAUAAAAAUGUUAAAACACUACUUAUCAAAAAAUGUUAAAACAUAUUAUUUUGUAAAUUAGAUUUUGUUAAAAAUAUUCUUACACUUGGGUCAAAAUCUGAUUUUAGUUAAAUUAUAGUCGGGUCAUUAUAUUUUAAUUGUUGAAACAAGAUAUUUAAACGAUCUCUAACAUCUACAUCAAUUUUUUUGGUUGAAUAACCAAGCGAGGAUGGCUCAGUGGUCUUAAGGGAGCUUUGGCCCCAAUACGGACCUGGGUUCGAAUCCCACUGGCCACCGUCGAUUAAAAUGGGGUGAAAAAGACGGCCCUCCAAGAUGCCUUCUGCGGAAGUGUACUUAGGCGCUAGUCAGGUUCCCUCCAGGAUGUCCGGAUUACCUGGAUUAUCAAAAAAAAAAUAUAUAUAUAUAUUUUUUGGAUGAACGAAAUUAAAUUCGUGAUGUUAAAUACAUAACAUCUUAAAGUUGAGGGAUGUUGUCCUGCAUAACAUAUACUUCGUGUGACUAGGCAUACAAUAGUUUAGUUUGCAUGGUUAGCCACGUGAUGGUCAAUAUUUCAAGUAUACAGCAGUCAUUUUUCAUUUUUUUUUACUUUGUCAUUUAAAAAUGUUUAUUGCCGUAGAAUUAAUCAUGCAGGCUACAUUAUACGUAAAUUUUAACAUAAAAGAGAUUAGCCCUUUGUCCAAAAAUAAAUAUCUUAUAUAGUCCACAAUCUUUCCGGAUAAGCCGUUAGUGAAAACUAGAUUAGUUAAAUUUGCUUUCUACCAUGCAUCUCCAAUAUCUAUACUAUUAAAGCAUGAUCCUAUUGUCAUAAUUACCUUAGGGGCAUGUUUCCUUCACUAACAUUGCAUGUUUCAUUAAGGGCAAUUAAGUAAUAUUAAUAACAAAUCUAUAUUGGGUCAUUAUUUUUGGAUCCAGCCCAAAUCAAAUCUCUCUUGGGCCAUUUGAGCCUAUUAAAAAAUCAGAUUCAAUUCUCACUUUUUUUUUCCUUUGGACCAUUGAGUCCAAGUUCAAAUAUUUUUUUUUCAACUAUUCUUAAUUAUUAUUUUUUUCUUUUCUUAAUAUAAUUUAAGCAUUCAUAAAAAUAAUUAAAGGAUAAGAAUUUAAAAAUAUAAACUGGUCCAACUUGGGUCGUCUAUUGCCUUUGUGAAUCAGGUUCGGACUAGCGUCUUGGUCGGGUCUUACAAAGGCCAGAACUAUGAACCCACUAGCCAUGGGCCUUGGGAUAUGACCCAACAUCAACACACUCACCUUAGAAAAUCAUGAAGAACGUAUGAGAAGAGAAAUUGCAGUGCUUCAAGGAACCCUUUCAGUGUUCUUUUAAGAAACUGACCAACUGCCUCGUCGGACUGUCCGACCACUGUCCUUGUCGAGUGGACCACUAGGCUUCAACUGUUUGCCGGUUAGCCUUCUUCUUGCCUCUCGCCGAACUCUAUAUAUAUAUAUAUAUAUAUGUAUACAUAUUUCUGUCUCUAUGGCUUUUCCUUGUCUAAAUGUCUAACCCAAAAGAAGAGAAGUCAAUAGAUAUUUACAGAAAAAGGGGAAAUAUUCGAUGGGUCACCAUUGGACAAGGGAAAAAAUGGUACAACUGUCACUCAUGACUAUUCUCCCUUCUACUUGUGCCCAUAACCACCCUAAACUAAACCUCAACCGCCAUUGAUCCGCUUUGCUUCAGACCAACCCUAUCCUAAAAUAACCCAACCGAGCCACCCUAGCCUAUAUGCUUAACCACUCGAACUCACCAAGUAAACCUGGAAGUUAAGGUCGACCCGACACAACUAUCUGGUUGAGCUGUUCAUCUAGCUUGUUGAGCUUGCCACCUAGAUUGCCGAGCUGGUCUACUACACUCUGAGCUUGUAAUCUCAGCUAUCAUAACUAGCUCUGAGCUGACUACACUCUUCUUGAGCAAUGAGAGACUUUGUUUUGGUCGUAGAAACUUCCCAUGCUUCUGACUCGAUCUCUCGACCACGCUUAUGGAGUAUCGGGGUUGAUAUUUUGUCUCCACAUUGACAACACUUGUCUAUAGAACGACUGUCUAUUCCCAUGCAGGACAGAGUGUGUUAAAACUUCUAUGUAUUACCUUUCCUUGGUCACAAUGGACCUCGACAUUUAUGGUUAAGGCGUGAUUUGCAUUUUGAUGCUGUCAGGAAUAGGUCUUGGCUUUUUCUGGCAACCAGAUCACCAAUUGAGGUAUUUCAAAUAACCUUGACUCAGUUAUCUCCUCCUAAUCCGGUGUAGGAUGAGGACAAAUUCCUUUGGCUUCAAUCAAACGUCAUUUUCAGUAGGUCCUUCUUCUCUAGAGUAGCAUAGGAACAUUUUUGGUAGUCUUCUCAUCCUCAACCGUGGCAUAGUGUGGUCUGGUUUAAGGAGCAAGUACACAUGAAUUCAUUUACAGCCUGGAUUGCGAUCAUGCGCUUAUUUCCAUUGAAACAAAAUGUAUGGGUUGGGAUUCAGUCCAGACAGUAUAAUGGUAGUUGGAUAACAUGUGAUCUACUACACCUUGAUAUUAGUCGGAAAGCAUUCCAAACUCAUGUCAGAUAGUGUGAUACCCUUUCGUAGAAAAGUCUACUUUAUAACACUAAGUUUUUUCCUACUUUAUAAGACUGGAUGAUUCAGUCGAUAGGAUAUAUACAAAAUAAGAUGUGUGAUGAAGAUCCUUUAAAGAUGUGUGUUGUGGUUCUCAUCUGAGGAAAUCCACCACCAGUUGUUUUUCGACUGUCCUUUCCUCGUGAAGUAUUUGGUAUUUCUUUGCAGCUCAAAUCUGGCCACAGCUUCCAUAGGAUAUCCAGUCCGUGGCAGCUUAAAUCAAUCUCCCUUGGCAUUAGCAAUCUUUUCAUGCUUUGUGCUUAAUCAAUCUAAUAUUUUAGGCAACAAUCAACCUUGUAUGGAAGAAACGUAAUACAAAGAUUUUCAAAGCCUUUGAAUCAAAGGCUCCUACUCUCCAUUCGGUGUCGUUCGCAAGUCAGCUGACCAUCUUGUUCGUUAUAGUUUGCUCUUUUUUCCGGCUCGGAACUUCAAUCAGCCUUCCUUUCUCGAGUUUUACUUUUCAUGUAUAAAGCCUUCUUGAUUAUUGUAUCUUCGUAUUGAGUUGCUUAUGUUUUUAUUCAUUAUUAAUAAGAUCCUAAACAGCAUUGCAAAACUAUAAAAAUGGUUAAAAGUUUAAUGUGAUUACCAAAAAAAUUUAAAUCCAUAUAUAUAUGAAAGUGGUUGAACUUCGGUAUAAUUACAGUAUUGAUAUUUUCUGAAGAAAAGCUUAUAAUAACAUUAUUUGUUAUAAUCACUAUUCGGUUUUUGUUAUCAUUAUUUUGCAUAACUUAUGUUGUUUGACUUGUUUGUCUUACACAUGAAUCUCACUCAUCCGGUUUGAUAAGCUAAUUCAUUUGUUCAGCACCAUCUGACGUGCUAUCAAGUAUCAACAGCACUAUAGUAAUACAACUAGUCUACGAGAGAGAGAGAGAGAGAGAGAGAGAGAGAGAGAGAUUUGGUUUAAUAAUAUAUUGCUACUUCUCAAUCCACGCAUGAAAGAAUAGUAGAAUACACAUGAAUAACUUUAUUGUGGUUGGUACAGAUUAUACAUGGUUCGAAGUAACAUGCAGACUUGAACACAUUACACACGUACGCAUGUAUUAUGUGUAUAUAGUAGACACAUCACACACGUACGUCUAUCAAUAUUUACGCCAUGAAAUUUCACUUUCUAAAAACAAAUCAUAGAUUUCACUGUCUUUACUUAGUCUGAAAUUUGGUCUUUAUCUAAUGCAUUUGCUUCCGAAUAUUUAAUUUUACAAUAAAGAUAAAGAGAUUUAAAAUGAUAAAAGUCAACCAUAACCCAUCAUUUGGUCUUUGGUUUCCCGACGUCCCACUUUUGUAAAAAAUCAUCUGUUCUUUUCCAUUCUUUUUCCUAGCCAACUGGAUAUCACCAAUUAUAGUUAUUAUAAUUUAUUUACUACACAUUAAUAUUUCCACAUAUCUUCUAUAUAUACAUCAGCAAGUCUUGUAACGAGACAACAUUUUCGAAAUAAAGAUAUUAAAGCAAUGAAGGUUCAUGAGUUUUCCAAUGGGUUUUCGUCCUGGGAACAACAUGAUUCGCCAUCAUCCCUUAGCCUAAGCUGCAAACGCCUCCGUCCUCUCGCCCCUAAGCUCUCCGGCAGCCCUUGCUCUCCUUCUUCUUCCUCCGGCGUCACUUCCGCUACUUUCGACCUCAAGAGCUUCAUUAAACCCGAUCAAACCGGUCCAAGAAAAUUUGAAUACUCUAUUGAACACCAACGAGACCUUCCUCAUGUCAGUUAUCUUAUUUUACAGUCAGCAUAUUAUUCUAUAUCCAAAAUAAUAUUAUCACAAUAUUAAGAGUUUUUCAAAAUAACCAUAUACGUAAAACAUUGCCUAACUGUAAUGACUUAAUGGGUUCAUGCCGUCUUCUAUUAUAUUAAAAUUUUCUUCC
rnacentral:lncRNA from 1 species